rnacentral:misc_RNA from 1 species
GAAAUGCGAUACGUAAUGUGAAUUGCAGAAUUCCGUGAAUCAUCGAAUCUUUGAACGCAGAUUGCGCCCCUUGGUAUUCCAGGGGGCAUGCCUGUUUGAGCGUCAUUUCCUUCUCAAACAUUCUGUUUGGUAGUGAGUGAUACUCUUUGGAGUUAACUUGAAAUUGCUGGCUUUUUCAUUGGAUGUUUUUUUUCCAAAGAGAGGUUUCUCUGCGUGCUUGAGGUAUAAUGCAAGUACGGUCGUUUUAGGUUUUACCAACUGCGGCUAAUCUUUUUUUAUACUGAGCGUAUUGGAACGUUAUCGAUAAGAAGAGAGCGUCUAGGCGAACAAUGUUCUUAAAGUUUGACCUCAAAUCAGGUAGGAGUACCCGCUGAACUUAAGC